rnacentral:rRNA from 1 species
CGUAGGGUGCGAGCGUUGUCCGGAAUUAUUGGGCGUAAAGAGCUCGUAGGCGGUGUGUCACGUCGAUCGUGAAAACUUUCAGCUUAACUGGGAGCUUGCGGUCGAUACGGGCAUCACUGGAGUUCGGCAGGGGAGACUGGAAUUCAAGGUGUAGCGGUGAAAUGCGCAGAUAUCUUGAGGAACACCGGUGGCGAAGGCGGGUCUCUGGGCCGAUACUGACGCUGAGGAGCGAAAGCGUGGGGAGCGAACAGGAUUAGAUACCCUGGUAGUCCACGCCGUAAACGGUGGGCACUAGGUGUGGGGGCCAUUCCACGGUCUCUGUGCCGCAGCUAACGCAUUAAGUGCCCCGCCUGGGGAGUACGGCCGCAAGGCUA